rnacentral:rRNA from 1 species
UACGUAGGGUGCAAGCGUUGUCCGGAAUUAUUGGGCGUAAAGAGCUCGUAGGCGGUCUGUCGCGUCUGCUGUGAAAACUCGGGGCUUAACCCCGGGCCUGCAGUGGGUACGGGCAGACUAGAGUGCGGUAGGGGAGACUGGAAUUCCUGGUGUAGCGGUGAAAUGCGUAGAGAUCAGGAGGAACACCUAUGGCGAAAGCAGGUUACUGGCCCAAUACUGACACUGAGCUGCGAAAGCUAGGGGAGCAAACAGG